rnacentral:rRNA from 1 species
UGCUUAACACAUGCAAGUCGAACGGUGAAGGGAAGCUUGCUUCCCGGAUCAGUGGCGAACGGGUGAGUAACACGUGGGCAAUCUGCCCCAGACUUUGGGAUAACUACUCGAAAGAGUAGCUAAUACCGAAUAUUCAGCCUUGCAGGCAUCUGCGAGGCUGGAAAGUUUCUCGGUCUGGGAUGAGCCCGCGGCCUAUCAGCUAGUUGGUGAGGUAAUGGCUCACCAAGGCGACGACGGGUAGCCGGCCUGAGAGGGCGACCGGCCACACUGGGACUGAGACACGGCCCAGACUCCUACGGGAGGCAGCAGUGGGGAAUAUUGCGCAAUGGGCGAAAGCCUGACGCAGCAACGCCGCGUGCGGGAUGAAGGCCUUCGGGUUGUAAACUCC